rnacentral:rRNA from 1 species
CGUACACUCCUACGGGAGGCAGCAGUGGGGAAUAUUGCACAAUGGGCGCAAGCCUGAUGCAGCGACGCCGCGUGGGGGAUGAAGGCCUUCGGGUUGUAAACUCCCUUCGCUAGGGACGAAGCUUUUUUGUGACGGUACCUAGAUAAGAAGCACCGGCUAACUACGUGCCAGCAGCCGCGGUAAUACGUAGGGUGCGAGCGUUGUCCGGAAUUACUGGGCGUAAAGGGCUCGUAGGUGGUUUGUCGCGUCGUCUGUGAAAUUCUGGGGCUUAACUCCGGGCGUGCAGGCGAUACGGGCAUAACUUGAGUGCUGUAGGGGUAACUGGAAUUCCUGGUGUAGCGGUGAAAUGCGCAGAUAUCAGGAGGAACACCGAUGGCGAAGGCAGGUUACUGGGCAGUUACUGACGCUGAGGAGCGAAAGCAUGGGUAGCGAACAGGAUUAGAUACCCUAGUAGUCCCAUGA